GAUGAAGAACGCAGCGAAAUGCGAUAAGUAAUGUGAAUUGCAGAAUUCCGUGAAUCAUCGAGUCUUUGAACGCACAUUGCGCCCCCUGGUAUUCCGGGGGGCAUGCCUGUCCGAGCGUCAUUGCUGCCCUCAAGCACGGCUUGUGUGUUGGGCCUCCGUCCUCCUCCCGGGGGACGCGCCCGAAAGGCAGCGGCGGCACCGCGUCCGGUCCUCGAGCGUAUGGGGCUUCGUCACCCGCUCUUGUAGGCCCGGCCGGCGCUUGCCGACACAUCAAUCUUUUUUCCAGGUUGACCUCGGAUCAGGUAGGGAUACCCGCUGAACUUAAGCAUAUCAAUAAGCGGAGGA
rnacentral:misc_RNA from 1 species